UACGAAGGGGGCGAGCGUUGUUCGGAAUUACUGGGCGUAAAGGGCGCGCAGGCGGCUCUGAAAGUCAGAUGUGAAAGCCCCGGGCUUAACCUGGGAAUUGCAUUUGAUACUCUGGAGCUUGAGUGUGGGAGAGGAGAGUGGAAUUCCCAGUGUAGAGGUGAAAUUCGUAGAUAUUGGGAAGAACACCAGUGGCGAAGGCGACUCACUGGACGACUGUUGACGCUGAGGUGCGAAAGCGUGGGGAGCAAACAGG
rnacentral:rRNA from 1 species